UCAUCAAAAGCUGUGUGCCGUUUUUAUUGUAGUAUUCUAAAUUUACAUUAAAAAAAGAAAGUCUGCCCAUGUCCUAGAUCCAUUAUGAAAGUUAACGCACAAAUUCCAUAUACAUCUCAUUGUAUUUUACAUAGAGGAUAAGAGUAUAGGCAUGGAGGUGGCAUGAUCAAUCACAAAGCUUAAAAGAACCAAAAGAGAUUAAAAAACAAAUCAAAAAACAACCCUGAAUAAAUAGAAGGUGCUGUCUGUUAGCAGAGAGUAUGUAAGCAUGUCACUCUUGAGAAGUUUAACACAAAGGCCGAAACGUGGCAUAUCUCACACCCUCCUUUUACCAAUGAAGAGAGAGGGGUUUCCAAGCAUACGAAAGCAGAAAUGUGAGGAGCAGAGUGAGAUGACAAUGGAGAGCCUAACUUGUCUGUACAGGUGCAUAAGUUAGAGAGUACAUCUGGUGGUUACACAGACACUAAGACAUCGACGUCUAGUUAAAAUGGUAUAAAGCAGGUUAUCUUUUGUCGAUACCUGUAUAUUCUUUUUCUCGUAGGCAACAAGACAUUUUUAAGGUGUUAACUUGCCUCGGCCAAUUAGGGCAGACCAUUUGAACGUCCAAUAGAGUGCAACAGUGCGGUUUUGAAAGUAAAAAUCCCAUUUACUUACUCCAUACAGCAACCGGGUUUUUAACAUGAAAACCUCUGAAAAAGCAAAGUUUCAAUGUCAUUUAAAAAAAAAAAAAAAAAGGAAUUUACGGUGAAAAACUACACUACCCAUAAUUCUGAAGAGAGCUCAACCAAUCAGAGACUUUGCUGCUAUCAUGGAAACAAAAAUCGCAGCAAGAGUUCAGUAAUGACUACCCACUCCCAUUAAGCACUGCAAAUUACAAACAAGUAACAAGUUCACAUCAAAAUGAGUAUUUGUUGGGACAAAUUGGUGCAAUAAAAUGUUAAAUUUUAAAUCAACAGCUGUUAAAUCUGUCUGUUCAGACCAACAUGAACCUUCGUACACAAUGUGACAAUUUAUUUAAUUUUACAGAAGGGUGUUCUAUUCUUUUUCCAUUACACUGCGAAGAAAACUGGCCAACCAAUAAAAUUCUCACAUGUGAUAACAUGUCCAAAGCCACUACUGUUACAGUUCAAAUUAGCAUUUUUAUUCAGCCUGUCGUCCAUUUUUAUGCAUUGGUCUAAACAGACAAAUUCAUAUGCAAAAAUCGAACCAAAUUUGUGGCAAAUUCUUGGUAACAGUAUUUAAAUCUCCACAAACUUUCAAACUACGUUAAAUUACAGUAGUCAACAUUUGAUGUGGAUCAAAACCUUUCAUCAAAGUUGUCCUAAAAUCUAAAAGCGUUCUUGUCUGAAAGGGUUAGUUCACCCAAAAAUGAAAAUUAUGUCAUUAAUCACUUACCCCCAUGUCGUUCCAAACCCGUAAAAGCUCUGUUCGUCUUUGGAAAACAAGU
ensembl:lncRNA